rnacentral:rRNA from 1 species
AGUCGACGAUGAAGGGAAGCUUGCUUUCUGGAUUAGUGGCGAACGGGUGAGUAACACGUGAGUAACCUGCCCUUGACUCUGGGAUAAGCACUGGAAACGGUGUCUAAUACCGGAUAUGACCAUCAGGUGCAUGUUUGAUGGUGGAAAGUUUUUCGGCUAGGGAUGGGCCCGCGGCCUAUCAGCUUGUUGGUGGGGUAAUGGCCCACCAAGGCGACGACGGGUAGCCGGCCUGAGAGGGCGAUCGGCCACACUGGGACUGAGACACGGCCCAGACUCCUACGGGAGGCAGCAGUGGGGAAUAUUGCGCAAUGGGCGAAAGCCUGACGCAGCGACGCCGCGUGAGGGAUGAAGGCCUUCGGGUUGUAAACCUCUUUCAGCAGGGACGAAGCGCAAGUGACGGUACCUGCAGAAGAAGCACCGGCCAACUACGUGCCAGCAGCCGCGGUAAUACGUAGGGUGCAAGCGUUGUCCGGAAUUAUUGGGCGUAAAGAGCUCGUAGGCGGUUUGUCGCGUCGGUGGUGAAAUCUCGGGGCUCAACCCCGAGCCUGCCAUCGAUACGGGCAGACUAGAGUGCUGUAGGGGAGACUGGAAUUCCUGGUGUAGCGGUGAAAUGCGCAGAUAUCAGGAGGAACACCGGUGGCGAAGGCGGGUCUCUGGGCAGUAACUGACGCUGAGGAGCGAAAGCGUGGGGAGCAAACAG